AUAAGACAGCACCGAUCUCCCCAAACCUCCCUAAUUUUUUGCCAACAGCAUAUCGAUCUUGUUCUUGGCUGCGUGGUUGAGAGUGCCGAUAGUCUCCAUUCCAGAAAUUUUCGGGUUGAAUUGGAUCCCAAACCCCACUCCUCAGGAAGUCCGCCGGCCAUCGCCAUGGGCAGCCGGUUUGUGAAUCUGUUGGCCAGGAGCUGCAACGGCGGCCCCAGACACUUCAGCCUGCACCGUAUGAAUCCCGCAAAUUUGUUUCACCCAACCAGGUCAGCGGUUCCAGCGGUUCAACCGUUAGCAGAUGCUCCUCUGCCCCCCCCUGCUCUAUCCUUCGGCUGGCCCGGCAAGAAGGGCGAACUCGCGUGGAUGAAUUUCAUGGCUUUCGGCCGCACCGGGAACAAUUUUUUGGCCGUGGACCAGAUAGGCAGGACCUUCUUUUACGACACUGACUCGCGUUCGCUCCGCACUGGAAUGCCCAUGAUGUGCAAGCCCAUCAUGGACCCGAUCUCCAUUGCCGUUGGUGACAGCCUCUACGUCAUGAGCGGUAACCCUGGCCCGUCGCCUGGGAAGCAUUGCUUCCAGGCUCUCAUCCACGGCCGCCUUCCUGCAAGCGACACCAAUGAUUGGUCCUGGUAUUCGCUUCAGCCGCCACCUCCCUUCGUGAACGACAUUCCCCGCUUCCAUGAAGAUGAGGUCAAAUCCAGUUGCGGUGACGUUCCAGCCCCCUAUGAAAUCGGUGCCUACACUGUGGUUGGCGAAUCACAGAUCUGGGUAUCCACAGCAGGUGCCGGCACAUACUCGUAUGACACUGUGAGUGGUGCAUGGAGCAAGGUAGGCAACUGGUCACUGCCGUUCAGAGGCCGUGCCGAGUACAUCCCUGAGCACAACCUCUGGUUUGGCUUCACACCCAACAAUUUGCAGCUGUGCACAUCGGACCUCACUGCCUCAUCUGAGGUGAGGCCGCCCGUUCUGCAGAAUAUGUGGACAGACGUGGUCAGGCCAAAAAAUUGGACCCUGAGAGAUGCCAGCCUCGUGCCGCUGGGCUCUGGCAAAGUCUGCAUUGCCAGGUUCUUCGUAACUCAUUCAGACAACUUUGAGGAUAUGUCAGCCUAUAAGAAAAGAGAGAAUUUUGCUGUUCUCGAGGGUGUGGAAGUGUUGAAGGCUGGGUGGGCUCACCUCCGGAUGGUUAAGCACAAGUCGGAGCGUUACGUCUUCGGCCGUGACCUUGUCAUACCGCUCUGAUAAUUUCUACUUCAUAUAUGGCAGAAUGAUCUCUGUGCACUCAAGAUCCGGGUCGCCAAUCCCAUCCUGUGAACUGUAUGUCUGCAGAUAAUUCACUGCUCAAAACCAGAGCUAACACUUUUAAUGUAUGUAAAGAAUUCUCAGCAUCAGGCUUGCUCUUUCCUUGGACUCCAUUAAGGAAGCACAUGUGUCUCACACAUCCCACAGAGAGUGGACAACAGGCUCCUCUACACAGGUGAUCUUCGGGUUUGAUCCAUUUCAACAUCCGGUGAUCCCAAAGAAUUUGAUAAAUUUGGCAAAGUAAUCUCCAACUUGAGAUGCAUUAGCCUCUGAUGAUCUUCCUUGUAUAUAUGAGACCCAUCUUCUUAAGCUUCCUUAGGUAUGACAAAACAUGACAUUCUGAAUUUCUGCAGUAAACCAGCUGCUUUUCAGGGUCAUCUGGAUUGAACUCGCUAUCACCGUAAUAAUAAUAUUGUGUCAGCAUCAGGCUGCGCAUCAUUACCCCAUCCGUCUGACCAAAUUUCAGAUCUUCUGUCAUGCCAUGCAUCAACAGCUCAAAUGCAUUGAACAGAGCUUGUCCUCGUUCAUCUUGAGGCAUAGCACUUGUAUGGAUUAGAAUAGCUGAGCCCAUGGUUUCCUCAUUUGUUCCAGCAAGUCAUACACUUCUGGUAACCGAACAGAGUUCUUACAUCCAUGAGAUAGGAUAUGAUCCAACACAUUAGCUGCUAAAAUUGUGUCGACUGCAGAGCUUGUCAAGCCUCAGCAAUGUGCCGUCAGCAAUUUGUACCCUACCAAAUUGGUCGCUGGAGAAUGAAUCAAUUGUAACAGCCAACAGAACAUUGUGGCCACCACAAAAACGGUAGCCUACAAUGCUCGGUUAAAUGGGAUUAAGUGGUACCGCAAAGAUUGGAAGUAAUCAGAUGGCAUAGAGGCCUCGGUUCACGUCGACUCGGCGCACACAGCUGGCAUGUCAGGUGAUGGCGCGAUGAAAGCUGCGUGGGGUCGUUCCACCGCGUACUGGGACGCUGAAGCUCUCUCUGGCCCACAAAUCAGUGACGUUGGUCUACCGGGGUUGGUCUAUGCAACGAAUUCCGUAUAGAAGGAAGUGCCGUGCAGCUGGAUGGCUGUGCUGGGCACUAGUUUCCCGCCAAAAUUUCAUUCGCUGGGAGGAGGUUUUUUUUUUUUUGAGAAUAUUCACUGGGAGGAGGUGGUUUCAGUUUGUAUCCUAUCCUCCUUUUCCCAGUUCCAUUCGCUCACUUUCAAAUACUCCCUCCGUUCCUAAAUAUUUCUCUUUUUAGAGAUUUCAAAUGUACUACCACAUACGGAUGUAUAUAGACAUAUUUUAGAGUA